rnacentral:rRNA from 1 species
CUUGCUUAAUAGUCACCUCCCCGUCGCGCUCCUGCCCUCUCCGCUGCUCCUUUCACGUCGCUUCCUUCGUGGGUGGCCUUCCCCUUCGCCUCCCUCCUGGCCGUGGUCGUCAGGUCGUCGUGGUUGGUUUUUGCCUCCCUCUGUUGUCUGUUCCGCGUCUUUUUUAUAGCGGAGGCGGGGGAGGCUCAGAGGGCUAUAGCGCGCGCGCGGGCCCGAGAAGAAGAAGGGGUACACUCAAACGGAACGGGGAGGGGGAGGGAGCAGCCAGCAGCGGAGGCGACGUGGUUGGUGUCGUGUCGUGGGGGCCCGGCGGGCAGCGGAAGCCGACCCGCCUCUACCACCGGCGAGCGGCCUCGUGGCGGCGGCAGGACGACGAGGACGACGACGAGCGGCAGAGGCAGAGAAGGUGCAGGGGCAGCGGUGCACCGGCCCUCGCCCUGUCUAGCCGCGAAGAGGCCGAGUCCCUGCGGCAGGGGAGGAGGCUCGACGAGGCGGCCACCAGCGGCCCGCGCCUGGUGACGAGGACCGGCCCCCAGCGGACGCUACGCUCCAUGGCCCAGCAGCGGGAGGUGCACGGGAGGUCGAAGGGCGCGCCCUCGCCCUCGCCCUAGCGGCCGGUCGACGGGUGCAGCCACCCCGAGGAGUGGCUCGAGUUCGUCGAGAGGGACGGGAGGGAGCCGGAAAAGCCGCUCUAGGGGCGCCUCUAGACCGCCGACCUCUUCGAACUCCCCCAGUUGGAGCGGCCCUUGAGCGAGGCCCCGCGAGAGGGCCCGCGGAAGGGCGGCGCCGACUCCCACGAGUUGGAGAGGAGGUUGCGCGAGUCGCCGCUCUAGGGACGGAGGGAGACGUCGACGUGCCUCAACUUCAAGAACCUAGAAAGACCGUUGGCCGAGUUGCCCAGGCACGGUCGCCAGCAGCCGCCGGAGGGGUCCAACUCCGUCGAGCUGGACAGGGCCUUGGAAGAACGCCCCUCGUAGGGGAGACGAGACCCCUCGACGUGUGUCGAGGCGAGCAACGCGGAGAAGAGGUUAUACAACCUGCCAAGGUAGGGUGGUCUCGAACCUGCUGACUCGUUCGACGCCCAAAACCUGCAUAGCCCAUUGUCUAACUCGCCAGACCACGGGUCCCUCGAUCCCUUAACGAGCCCAAACAGGCAAGAGCACAACAGCUCGGUCAAACUACGUCACUUUGGUGUACUCAAGUUAGAGAAACUCCCUCUCGAAGGCCUCUCACACUGUCGAAACGGUUUCGAAUCCAACAAUACCCGCGGCUUCCGUCCGGACGUUCCUUUAGAGGGUUCGUUAACCCCUUAGACGGUAUCAAACCUCUACCAAUUAGAGCCUCCAUUAAAUGAACGACCUCACUAUGGCUCCCUCGAUCCCGUCACAUCUUUGGAGUUCAAAGAGUUGGAGUCAAGGUUAUCUAACAGGCCAAGCGAACUAUUUUUAGAAGUAGACGUAACAUACCUACACAAACUACAGUCACCGUUGUUUGAGAGUCCGAGUUAAGGUCGCAGACACUUGUUUCUCACACGUAGCGUCGUUGGCGACCUACCGCACUGUAGACCGAUAAGAAGUGGGAAGUACAGGGCUCGACAUCGUCUCGAUAGUGACCCAAUGACACUUAGUCCUCUCACAAGCCAACAUAUGGUAUUAAAACGCUUCUUGUUCAAACCUCCGGCAGAAUGUAGGAACGGUGAAUCACGUCUGUCUAUACCUUUGUCCUGGAACAUACGUAAUUAAGAACUAGUGUUAUUGAAGUGACCUAGUAACCGACGUUAAGACAACCUUGUCACGUCGUUGAAUUUACCAAACUAGCAGUCGAAGGCUCUGUUGUUCUAUAGACCACUCGAGUGUCUUCUUUAGUCGAGUUUUACAGUACGGUAGUCUCAAAACCAAGAUCGGCUCUUAGUUUAAAGUCCUCACAACGGACGAUUGUAACCAGACAACCCACGAGAACAUUUCUACCUGUAAUCGUUUUUGAAAAACCACCCAGUUUAUGGACGGUCAAACUUUCUCGAGUUCUCGAACUUUAAAGAGAGCAAUCGGCGUUUGUUAUAGUCACCAGUCUAUGGCAGGAGAAACCCCGUUAACCUUAGCGACCUCCAAAAUCUAGAGAGUAGAUUAAGAGACAGACCCUUACAGGGAUCAUUACAACACUGUGACUCUCCAGAGUGCUGUGAAGACGACUUGUUAUUACUCGAGAGACCUUUGUAACGGCUAGAAUGGGGAAGUCAUAGUUACCGACAAAAAUUGUAAAGUAAGUUAUUGAACCGACCCGGCAACGUAAGCUUACACGCUCGUGAGUCACUCUUACUCCGAUCAGGUCUUGGACUCUUAUGUGGGUCGCUACCGCCUCCGAAGUGGUUUUAUCUCUAACGGAGUUAUUGGAGUCGUAGUCGCUAACAACGUCAAGAGAACCGGGACUAGUAGGAAAUGUAAAUGUGAGCAUUUACACGUAGUUCUGGUAGUUCCGCAAGAUUGUCCUCUUCCCUUCACUGACAAAAACACCUAUAACCACGAGGAAACUGUAUACUCUGGCAACAUGCGCGACGACCGUCAAAAUUACGUUCGUUAACGUAACCUUCACCACCGAAACCUCGUUGUAUGUUUCGACUCUAACGUGGUCCGUAAGACCACCGUUAUUUCUCCGAGCGAUAACCUUCCAAGGUUCCAUAAGUCGUCAAGGUUCGUCUCCACUUUUGAGAACCUUCCACAGCCGUACUGUUAGAACAUUGUGAGUAUCCCAUGGUGGAGUCACUAAGUCUCUACAAAGAUUAUAUGUUAAAAGACGGGCCGCCAUUGAACCUUUCCAAGUAUGUUCUUUCCCGUUUCUCUGGUUAACUAACCUCUUACGAAGUGUUUUAACGAGAUCUACAACGUGCACGUGAACGUAUGGAAGUACUAUUGACACAGGGUGCAUAAGACGUGGCCCUACACUUCGGUUCGUUGUAGAACGAACUGUUACUCAUGUGGCGUAUGGAAAGACUAAAACCUAAUCGUUCUGAUGAACCCUUAAGUCUUUGAGUACGUUGGUGGCCACAGCGCCCAUGAAAACCUAUACAACGAGGUCUCAUACGCUACUGAACGGCACAAAGACUAUUCCGACUACACAUGUCGAUACCUCAACAUGACGAACUUGAAUAAAGUCUGUUCUUUCGUGACCUGGGAAGGAAAAGAGGCAUACCUUUACCUAAGUUGUAUCAACGAACCCGAACGUACGAAGACGUCUUCCCGGCUCGAGCACUCAAGAAGUAUCUUCCCGACACCCUACACCGAGGCGUACUACUGAACCAACUCUAAGACGUGGAGCCAUAGUUCACGUGACACCUGAGAGAAAGAAGAUCCGGGUGUUACUUCGUUCAACAAGCCGCUGAUUUCCUUGAGUCCGGCGGGAGAAUGAUCCUAAACGUUGAGAUCAUACUGUAUGCAGAGUUCUGACUCUCAUUCUUUCGUUGGCGUCAUAGUCUCCCUACUUAAGCAACUAGGACUAGUUGUCUACUAAACGACAAUUUCGACAACUCCUAAGACAAACUGGUGUUGACGGUUCCUAUGAGGACCAUAGGUACAGUACAGGAGGUCAGUACACCAGCCACUGGUCGUAGUACACGUUCUAACCUAAUGACGUGCCGUAUCGCCACGGCGACUUUACCGGCGAGCUUCCCUGAGGCUCCCCUUCAUGACGACGCGGAUCGUAGUGAGCUACACUACGAUACUUUUGUUAACGAGCAGCAGCAAGUCGCCGGAACGACCUCAAGACAGCGUUAGGUGCUUUGUGUCAUUUUCGGAACAGGUCACCGGAGGCACCUUCUUUUACCCUUGGUCUCGUUCCGGUAUACUACUUCGAGUAGUAAGUUGAUAACCACCGGCCUCGCGUCCCUAAAAUAAUAGUUUUCAGCGACUAAUCAAUUGUACAACGAAAAGUCUUCGGAAACAUUGUAGUAUAGCAAAGGAACGACGAAAGACAAUUUUCUUUUUCGUCCCGGUACACCGGAAAAUGUAGAAGUAGAUUUUUUAUCACGCAUAGUAAAGGAUGUGAAUGUCGUUGGCUGUCUAUUAAACUCAUAAGACCCGUCUCGUCGCGCGUCAUCACCGUACGAAGUUUGCCUGCUGUCUACGUAUUAUAACUGUCACUUCCCCUUUUUUAAUCGACUCACUUCCUUUAUAGACUACUAUAUAACUUGUCUUCCACCAUGUAUCAAG